rnacentral:lncRNA from 1 species
GGGCAGCCCCAGACGCAGAGCCCUGUGCCACUUGCGUCCCUGGGCUUUCUGCCCGACAAGGACGGGGGGCUGGACAGAGAGCCGUGUCUGCAGAGACCCAAAUCCGGGGUCAGGUUUGUGUUUCUGUGGACACGUCUGUCCACAAAGAGGGCAGUGGGCAAUUGUUCUCUUCAUCGAAGAAUGGUUUUUGUCAACGUUCAGUGAGAUCAUUUCACCAGUGAGGUGGCCACAGCGGCGCUUUCUCUACCCAAACCUCACUUCCUCUCGCUGAAGGGGUUCCAGUCUCGAUCAUCAGUGAAGUCCUUCCACAUCCAUGGGGCGUCCACCAACUAGGAGCUUAAUCAACUCAACGCUGUGGCCUCUCCAGCUCAGGGACGUGCCUUUUCCGUGUCUUCUUCUCACACACAAACGUAGCCUGCAAGGAAGGUCAGGUUCAAUGCACGGAAUCUACCCUGCUGCCCGCUAGGAGGUCAUAUGUGUAUCACAGACCCGCAGAGAAUGCUCUCCACAGUACAUGAGGCGCGGUACAAAUGGAAUGAGUGUAACGCGCAUUCUCUGUUUGAAAAAAGUUAUCCCAAUUGAAUAGUCGGUAAUUUCUCUUUAUUGUAACCCAAUAGAUCACAAAAUGCAACCUGAGGUUUAAGCUGAGGGGUGGGGCGUUUGCAGAGGGCUGUGGUGGAGGUUAGAUUAGGUUUACAGAAGGCUGUGUGGUGGAGGUUAGGUUAGGUUUGCAGAAUGCUGUGUGGUGGAGGUUGGGUUAGGUUUGCAGAAGGCUGUGUGGUGGAGGUUAGGUUAGGUUUGCAGAGGGCUGUGGUGGAGGUUAGGUUAGGUUUACAGAAGGCUGUGUGGUGUGGAGGUUAGGUUAGGUUUACAGAGGGCUGUGUGGUGGAGGUUAGGUUAGGUUUACAGAAGGCUGUGUGGUGGAGGUUAGGUUAGGUUUGCAGAGGGCUGUGUGAU